AUACCUUUCUCGGCCUUUUGGCUAAGAUAAAAUGUAGUAUCUGUUCUUAUCAGUUUAAUAUCUGAUAUAUGGGGUACAUCCUCACAAUGAUAUUAAGUUUAUUUUUUGUGGAGGAGGGUCCAUAACAGUGGCUUGCCAUUGGGGCCCUUAGGUGUCGCCCGGGCGUUGCACUACAGCCUAGGCAGGCGCACCCCAA
rnacentral:snRNA from 1 species